rnacentral:rRNA from 1 species
AUUGAACGCUGGCGGCAGGCCUAACACAUGCAAGUCGAACGAGUGGCGGACGGGUGAGUAAUGUCUGGGAAACUGCCCGAUGGAGGGGGAUAACUACUGGAAACGGUAGCUAAUACCGCAUACCAUCGAAUGUGCCCAGAUGGGAUUAGCUAGUAGGUGGGGUAAAGGCUCACCUAGGCGACGAUCCCUAGCUGGUCUGAGAGGAUGACCAGCCACACUGGAACUGAGACACGGUCCAGACUCGGACGGGAGGCAGCAGUGUGGAAUAUUGCACAAUGGGGGCAAGCCUAAUGCAGCAAUGCCGCGUGUAUGAAGAAGGCAUUCGGGUUGUAAAGUACUUUCAGCGAGGAGGCGUUACUCGCAGAAGAAGCACCGGCUAACUCCGUGCCAGCAGCCGCGGUAAUUC